UACGAAGGGGCUAGCGUUGCUCGGAUUGACUGGGCGUAAAGGGCGCGUAGGCGGUUCGUACAGUCAGACGUGAAAUUCCUGGCUCAACCUGGGGGCUGCGUUUGAUACGUGCGGACUUGAGUGCGGAAGAGGGUCGUGGAAUUCCCAGUGUAGAGGUGAAAUUCGUAGAUAUUCGCAAGAACACCAGUGGCGAAGGCGGCUCACUGGCCCGAUACGUGACGCUGAUGGCACGAAAGCGUGGGAGCAAACAG
rnacentral:rRNA from 1 species